rnacentral:rRNA from 1 species
UACGUAGGGCGCAAGCGUUGUCCGGAAUUAUUGGGCGUAAAGAGCUCGUAGGCGGUUUGUCGCGUCUGACCGUGAAAGUCCGGGGCUCAACUCCGGAUCUGCGGUGGGUACGGGCAGACUAGAGUGAUGUAGGGGAGACUGGAAUUCCUGGUGUAGCGGUGAAAUGCGCAGAUAUCGGGAGGAACACCAGUAGCGAAGGCGGACACUCUGGGCCGGUACUGGACGCUGAGGAGCGAAAGCGUGGGGAGCAACAGGG